AUGGCCUGGGACCCUCUGCUCCUCACCCUGCUCACCUACUGCUCAGGUUCUCUUGCCCAGUACGUGUUGACCCAGCCACCUUCAGUGUCAGUGUCUCCAGGGCAAAAUGCUCAGCUCACCUGCACAGGAGAAAAGUUUGACAAAUACUAUGUGUACUGGUACCAACAGAAACCUGGCCAGGCCCCCCAACUCGUCAUAUAUAAGGAUAGUGAGAGACCCUCUGGAAUCCCUGAGCGAUUUUCUGGGGCCAGCUCUGGGAAAACGGCCACAUUAACCAUCACUGGGGUCCAGGCGCAGGAUGAGGCUGAUUAUUACUGUAUGGUUUGGGACAAAGAUAAUAGCUCUCACACAGUGACAUAG